rnacentral:lncRNA from 1 species
GCAUCUGUUGUUUGUCAAAUUUUUUAGUUACUUCAGAUCGUACGUUUUUCCGGUUAGUACGUUUUUUCUCGCAUUUUCCCCCAAAAUGUAUGAGCGAGGUUCUACUGUAUU